UGCUGCUAAUGUCAGAUAGAUUUUGGAUACUGGAAUGUUCCAAAGUCCAAAGGGUUCAACCUUUCUGUUGAAUUACACCCAAGGAUGGGUCUGCGGUUGAUCAGGCAGAUGGUGAGGUAACGGCUCACCAUACCUAAGACCGAUAGGAGUCCUGAGAGGGAGGGCUCCAAGAGGAACACUGAGACAAGGGUUCCAGUCCUACGGGAUGCAGCAGGGUCGAGUUCUCUGCAAUGCACGAAAGUGUGACAGGGGAAAUCCGAGUGCUUAUGCAAUGCAUAGGCUUUUGCCAAGUGUAAAAAGCUUGGCGAAUAAGGGGUGGGCAAGACCGGUGGCAGCAGCCGCGGUAAUACCGGCGCCCCAAAUAGUGGUCGCAAUUAUUGGGCCUAAAGCGUCCGUAGCCGGUCUGGAGGGUCUUUGGUGAAAUCCGUGCGCUUAACGUACGGGCGUGCCUGAGAAACUACCAGACUCGGGACCGGGAGAAGUGGGGAGUAUUGUCGGGGUAAGGGUUAAAUCUUAUAAUCCCGAUAGGACUACCUGUGGCGAAGGCGCCCCACUAGAACGGGUCCGACGGUGAGGGACGAAAGCUGAGGGAGCAAACGGGAUUAGAUACCCCGGUAGUCUCAGCUGUAAACGCUGCGAGUUAGGUGUUGCACGUUGUUCGACAGCGUGCAGUGCCGAAGCGAAGGCAUUAAACUCGCCGCCUGGGGAGUACGGUCGCAAGACUGAAACUUAAAGGAAUAGGCGGGGGAGCACAACAAGGGGUGAAGCUUGCGGUUCAAUUGGAUUCGACGCCGGAAAUCUCACCAGGACCGACAGCAUUAUGACGGUCAGCCUAAAGGGCUUACCUGAGGCGCUGAGAGGUGGUGCAUGGCCGCCGUCAG
rnacentral:rRNA from 1 species